GCCAGACUCCUACGGGAGGCAGCAGUGAGGAAUAUUGGUCAAUGGGCGCGAGCCUGAACCAGCCAAGUCGCGUGAGGGAAGACGGUCCUAUGGAUUGUAAACCUCUUUUGUCGGGGAGCAAAAGACGCCACGCGUGGCGUUCCGAGAGUACCCGAAGAAAAAGCAUCGGCUAACUCCGUGCCAGCAGCCGCGGUAAUACGGAGGAUGCGAGCGUUAUCCGGAUUUAUUGGGUUUAAAGGGUGCGCAGGCGGAGGCACAAGUCAGCGGUAAAAUCGCGGGGCUCAACCCCGCUCCGCCGUUGAAACUGUGUCCCUUGAGUGCGCGAAGGGUAGGCGGAAUGCGUGGUGUAGCGGUGAAAUGCAUAGAUAUCACGCAGAACUCCGAUUGCGAAGGCAGCAUACCGGCGCCCAACUGACGCUCAUGCACGAAAGCGUGGGUAUCGAACAGGAUUAGAUACCCUCGUAGUC
rnacentral:rRNA from 1 species